rnacentral:rRNA from 1 species
ACGAACGCUGGCGGCAUGCCUAACACAUGCAAGUCGAACGAGACCUUCGGGUCUAGUGGCGCACGGGUGCGUAACGCGUGGGAACCUGCCCUUAGGUUCGGAAUAACUCCCCGAAAGGGGUGCUAAUACCGGAUAAUGUCUUCGGACCAAAGAUUUAUCGCCUUUGGAUGGGCCCGCGUUGGAUUAGCUAGUUGGUAGGGUAAAAGCCUACCAAGGCGACGAUCCAUAGCUGGUCUGAGAGGAUGAUCAGCCACACUGGGACUGAGACACGGCCCAGACUCCUACGGGAGGCAGCAGUGGGGAAUAUUGGACAAUGGGCGAAAGCCUGAUCCAGCAAUGCCGCGUGAGUGAUGAAGGCCUUAGGGUUGUAAAGCUCUUUUACCCGGGAUGAUAAUGACAUUACCGGGAGAAUAAGCUCCGGCUAACUCCGUG